rnacentral:rRNA from 1 species
CCUACGGGAGGCAGCAGUGGGGAAUAUUGGGCAAUGGAGGAAACUCUGACCCAGCAACGCCGCGUGAAUGAUGAAGGUCUUCGGAUUGUAAAGUUCUUUUCUAAGGGAAGAAGAAAGUGACGGUACCUUAGGAAUAAGCCUCGGCUAACUACGUGCCAGCAGCCGCGGUAAUACGUAGGAGGCGAGCGUUAUCCGGAAGGACUGGGCGUAAAGGGUGCGUAGGUGGUUUGGCAAGUUAGUAGCGAAACUCCAAGGCUCAACCUUGGAACUACUACUAAAACUGGUGGACUUGAGUGCAGGAGAGGCAACCGGAAUUCCUAGUGUAGCGGUGGAAUGCGUAGAUAUCAGGAGGAACACCAGUGGCGAAGGCGGGUUGCUGGACUGUAACUGACACUGAGGCACGAAAGCGUGGGGAGCAAACAGGAUUAGAUACCCCAGUAGUC